rnacentral:rRNA from 1 species
UACAGAGGUGGCAAGCGUUGUUCGGAAUUACUGGGCGUAAAGGGCGCGUAGGCGGUUCGUUAAGUCCUGUGUGAAAUCCCCGGGCUCAACCCGGGAACUGCGUCCGAUACUGGCAGGCUUGAAUCCGGGAGAGGGAUGCGGAAUUCCAGGUGUAGCGGUGAAAUGCGUAGAUAUCUGGAGGAACACCGGUGGCGAAGGCGGCAUCCUGGACCGGCAUUGACGCUGAGGCGCGAAAGCCAGGGGAGCGAAACGGG